CACGCAAGGGACGGCCCGCCUCUUCCUCUCGCCGCUUCUGGUAUGCGCUAUACGCACUUCCUGUUCCUUCUCCACUGGGAAAGUAUGGCGUCUUGAACUUCCGGACCGACUUCAGAAAUUGCAAGAGCCCGCGGUGGCGCAGUGAGUUAAACCCUUGUGCCGGCAGGACUGAAGACGGACAGGUCGCAGGUUCGAAUCCGGGGAAGAGGCGGAUGAGCUCCCUCUAUCAGCUCCAGCUCCUCAUGCGGGGACAUGAGAGAAGCCUCCCACAAGGAUGAUAAAAACAUCAAAUCAUCCAGGCGUCCCCUGGGCAACGUCCUUGCAGACAGCCAAUUCUCUCACACCAGAAGCGACUUGCAAUAAAUGAGUUAUGAAAAUA